rnacentral:rRNA from 1 species
AGGGAUCGGCCCGCGUUAGAUUAGUUAGUUGGUGGGGUAAUGGCCUACCAAGACUACGAUCUAUAGCUGGUUUGAGAGGAUGAUCAGCAACACUGGGACUGAGACACGGCCCAGACUCCUACGGGAGGCAGCAGUGGGGAAUCUUAGACAAUGGGGGCAACCCUGAUCUAGCGAUGCCGCGUGAGUGAUGAAGGCCUUAGGGUCGUAAAGCUCUUUCGCCUGUGAUGAUAAUGACAGUAGCAGGUAAAGAAACCCCGGCUAACUCCGUGCCAGCAGCCGCGGUAAUACGGAGGGGGUUAGCGUUGUUCGGAAUUACUGGGCGUAAAGCGCACGUAGGCGGAUUAGUCAGUCAGAGGUGAAAUCCCAGGGCUCAACCCUGGAACUGCCUUUGAUACUGCUAGUCUUGAGUUCGAGAGAGGUAAGUGGAAUUCCGAGUGUAGAGGUGAAAUUCGUAGAUAUUCGGAGGAACACCAGUGGCGAAGGCGGCUUACUGGCUCGAUACUGACGCUGAGGUGCGAAAGUGUGGGGAGCAAACAGGAUUAGAUACCCUGGUAGUCCACACCGUAAACGAUGAAUGCCAGUCGUCGGGUAGCAUGCUAUUCCGGUGACACACCCUAACGGGAUUAAAGCAUUCCCGCCUGGUGGAGUACGGGUCGCCAAGAUUAACAACUCCAAAGGAAUUUGACCGGGGGCCCCGCCCCAAGCCGGUGGGAGCCAUGUUGGUUUUAAUUUCGAAAGCAAA